GGUUGUGUAGUGUAGUGGUUAUCACUCGAGAUUUUGAAAUUAAACUUCUCGUAACCCCGGUUCGAACCCGGGCACGACCU